rnacentral:tRNA from 1 species
GAGGCUAUGGCUCAGUGGUAGAGUGCCUGCUUAGCACACAUUGAUGUUCUGGGUUCAAUCCCCAGUACCUCCA